rnacentral:lncRNA from 1 species
AUAUGAUUUCAUUAGUUUUUAUGUCAUAAUCCAUAUGUUUUAAAAUUUUACAUCAAAAAGUUACAACAUUGUAAUGACAUUCUAUCAUGUCAUUAUACCAUCCAAAUAUUACAAACACAAAAAGUUAUCAAAAUAUCAAUACAACCAUGAUUUGUAAUGGUCAGGCUUAAAUUUGCCCGAUGCCCAUGACUCAAAACCAAAAAACAAAAUUUUAAACCAAAAUAAACAGCCCAAUAACAAAUACAGCCCAAACUAUCAAUCUAAUGCAAAAAAAUAUCAGCAGAACCCUAGGAACGUUCAGCCACCGCCCCACGCCUCUUCGUCUGCUCGCACGUUGCUCCAUCAGUCGCCCUCCACGCGUCGUCUGACAUCUGAAACAAGCACAAUAGCAGAGAAAGAAGCAUGCGAGCGCAGAGAAAUAAAGAGCAAAAAAACAAAAAAAUAAAUAAAAGGGAAUCAACUGUAAAUGGCUUUAAAAGCCCGGAUCUACUCUCCUGUAAGUUUUUAGAGACAUUUACAAGCAAGAUUAAUCAAAAAGAACAGAAGUUUCGAAAGGUGGAUUUCUUUUUAUCUAUUUUCGUCUCUGCCUCUUUCAUUUUUAUUUUUAUUUUUUUAUUUUUUCUAACAAAAAAUCUUUCAAAAUAAAGAAGGAAGAAAUAAACUUACCUGAGUAGCCUCACGUCCUCCGUCGUCGUGGUUGUUUCACCGGCGCCGAGGGCCUCACAGCUUUUUUAAGGCUGGCUACAAGGACCAAAGUCCUAUUUAUUCGUCUUUUUGUCACAAAUAAAGGACUAGACCUUUAGAUCUGGUCUGAACGGGACUAAAAGAACCGUUUUGCGACUCACCGACCACCAUCUACGAUGGAGGAGCGGCGGUCCGGCGAGGAUGGGCAUAUUACCAUAGCCAAAUGGGAAAAUUAGAAAAGGGAGAGAGAGGGAAGGAAUGCUCUCUGUUGUUUUUUUUAAAACACUAAGAAAAAAUGAAACAAACAAAAAUUUGGGGCCUUUUAUCAGGCUACAAAACGGUGCCGUUUAGAAAGGGGGGGUCCGCAUGUUUCCCUUAAAUGGGAAAUUACCCACUUUGGUCCCUCCCCCUUUUCUAAUAUUCGAUUUAGUCCCUAUUUCUUUUUUUUUCUUUUUAAAUCUAGCCCGAUUAUUUUAUCCCCUCUCUGAUUUGGUCCCUGAUCUGGGUUAAUGAAACGCGGCGUAUAGACUUGGGACAUUACUACAGUUGGUCCUCGCAAGUCUCAGCGCGUUUCAAUUUAAUCCCUGGUGGCCCCCUUUUUUAUUAUUUCAAAUUUAUACCCUGAAAUUUUGAUUUGUUUUUAUCUAUAUCCUAAAUCCAUUUAAUUUAUUCUCUUCACAUCUAUCUUAAUUUGUUUAAUAUACUGUUUGUUCAUAUCAUUAUUGUUUGUUGUAACUCAUUUUAAUAUGUUGUUUAUUCUAAAUAUUACUUUACCUCAACUUACUUUAUGUAUGUAUUAUUUAUUUUAUAAUCCUUACUUAUCAUAUUUGUAUAUAUAUAUACCAUCCAUUUCAAGUUUC